GCCAGUUGUUGCAUGUCUGUCCGCCGCGGUGGCUCCUCGGCUUGACGGUGUUACGCUGCAAGUUGCCUACUGUGGAGGAGAGAUACGCGGUCUUAUUCAAGUAUUAAUUAAUCAAGAGUCAUUCAUUGCUUACAAGUGUAUCUAAAUAAGGAAGCAGAGGAGGAAGGGAGACUUCACAAGAGGAAACACUGAGCGCCGCCGCUAGCUCCAGUGGCCGCCUGCUCACCUACCUCCACAAUAACCUUCAUCCUUCAAGAACACCGAAAUUCACUGUGCAGGGACUCCGGGCAGGGCUGCGCCACUCCCCGGCCAACGAGCCUUCAGUGUUCAGCCACAACGACCUGGCGUGGAAUGUUCGCAAGUUCCUGCACAACAAGCUGCGGUCCUUCAACCUGUCCAGCGACCUGACGAAGGAGAAGCCGUGGAGGGACUCGCCCUUCUCCCACACCGACCUGCUGCAGCUCAGGGCUGGACAAGUGGCGGCCCAGAACUGGGGAGAGACGGUGAGGGAGCCGAGCAAGGAGUGAAGAGCAGCGCUAAGGCCGCGAGAGGGACGAGGAGCGAGGCGUGUUCCUGGAGAUAUUGGAGCUAUGGCAUUCGCCCAGGAUUUAGGAAUAUUAUGAGUCUGCUUUCUCCAUUCUGUGAGAGGGAAUGAAUGAUCGAAGGGAGAAAAGCAAGACGACGACAGAGGCGGACGUAUCUGUAUAGCACAAGACAGGUGGAGUGCAACAAGUGGCGAGACUGGCAGCAGAGGAACAUGUGGGGGUCCAUUAUCUCCAACGCGAUCUGGCUCGUCACUCCGGUAUAAGCAAGGUAAGAAAAUGAUCCUCUGGGUGAAGGUGAUGGAAGACGACGCAGCCGCUCUGCCCUGGAGCCUGAGUGUUAACGGAAGACUGUGGAUCGCUGGCUCAAGCUGGAGGAGGAAAGGAGAAUCAAUGACCGUCCCAGGAGCGGCCGCCUCUAGAAACACGCUCCGGAACUGGACACGGCGAGAGUCAAAUGCCUCGGAGGAUUCUUGCAACAACGUAAUGGGAAUGGUAGAAGAGUGUCAGCUCUGUUCGUCCUGAAAUUGUUGGGACACAAUGAAGGAAUAGAGCAUGCACAAACACACAGUCAGGCGCACUAGACCCCCUUUUCCUUCACCAGCCUUGACCACCUUCCUUUCCUGACGGUUUUUCAACUUAGGUGGUGUAAAUUUUCAACACACGCACAAAAUAAUGAUACUAAUUAAAUUU